rnacentral:pre_miRNA from 1 species
UCCUGUGGGUGAGCAAAGAAAGCGACUCUUGAGAUGGAAUUUACUCUUGGCAAAGACGCUGUGAG